rnacentral:rRNA from 1 species
CAGUCGCCACGGUAAUACGAAGGGGGCUAGCGUUGUUCGGAAUUACUGGGCGUAAAGCGCGUGUAGGCGGGUCCUUAAGUCAGGGGUGAAAUGCCAAGGCUCAACCUUGGAACUGCCUUUGAUACUGGGGAUCUUGAGUCCGGGAGAGGUGAGUGGAACUGCGAGUGUAGAGGUGAAAUUCGUAGAUAUUCGCAAGAACACCAGUGGCGAAGGCGGCUCACUGGCACGGAACUGACGCUGAGACGCGAAAGCGUGGGGAGCAAACAGGAUUAGAUACCCCCGUAGUCCCUGUCUCUUAUAC